rnacentral:rRNA from 1 species
AUGGAUCAUCCAUUGUAUGGGGCUGCUCUAUGUUUGAACCUAGAAAAGUUCUUUCCUAUUGUAAGCAGAAAUGAUGAUGCCUUAGUUGGGGAGCUUAGGAGCUGCUUUAAUGAUGUGCUUGCAAAAAUGGUACCGGAUGCCAAUGUUCGAAAAAAGAUUGAUCAACAAUCUGUGCUCUAUGAGGGCCAGCGAGAAGGCUUUUCUAUUCCAUUGGCGCUCGAGACCAUGAGCACAAGAAACCCUCUUGAUUGGUGGAGUUCAUUUGGUGGUCGGGCCAUUGACCUAAAAAGGUUUGGAAAGCGCAUUAUAAGUCUUUGUGCUUCAUCAUCUGGUUGUGAGAGGAAUUGGAGCACGUUUGAAUUUAUCCAUACGAAGAAAAGGAAUAGGUUACAAUGGAAAAGGUUGAAUGAUCUUGUCUUUGUUUCAUACAACUGGAAGAAUAUGCAACGGUUUCAAAAGAGGCGUGAGAAGGUGGGAGAGAAUAGCUUUGAGGCUUUGGUCAUUGAGGAUUUUGAUUGGGGCAAUGAGUGGGUGGACCCAUCACUAUCACAACCUCAAGGUGCUCGAGGUUGUCCUGAAGACAAUCAAGACAUUACAUAG